CAAAAGGUGACAACAAGCCCCCUGGGAUGCCUGCUGUGUUUGGUCUUCCACCUCCUCAAAGUCACCUUCCUCCUCUGACUCCUCUUCUCCAGACUCCUCUCUCUGCGUUGCCUCUCUCUGCGUUAUUAUAAGGUGUGUUAAGUAGUACUAUUCCUAUCAGUUUAAUCCCUGUUACGUCCCCUAUCAGGGGACGUGUAUAUGGCAUCGAUUUUAGGAACCGGGAGAUGGAAAAAGAUGCUUGGUCGGUCCUCCUACUUCAAAUUUGGGGCACUGCGCGUGCAAUCUAAUGUGCCACCAGAUAGGAGUGGUGUGUUAAGUAGUACUAUUCUUAUCAGUUUAAUCCAAAUGUCACGACUACUAGUGUGGUCCAGCACGCAGAAACUAUGUAAACAUAUACAUAAGCAAGAAAAGGAAAAUAAAAGGACAGAGCGUAAACCGGACCUUAGAAGGGCCGGAUUAAUACGCUAGAGACAGAGAAUGGUCAAAGGGAAAGCCAAGGUCAAGGAAGCCAGAAAAUACACAAUACAGUUUACACAAGCCAAGUCAGGGAAACCAGAAUUCAGAAUAACCAAGGAAAAGCCAAGAUCAGGAUACCAGGAAAUCAGAUUCAACUCUCAGGAAACCAGGAACAGGAAACCACAACACGGCAAGGUACUGGGGUGAGCUAGGGAUUUAAAUAUCACGCGGAGGGCCGGCAGCCGCGACACCCUGUUACGUCCCCCUCAUCAGGCCUUUUUUAGUCGAAUGUAUUGCCCACUGUCAGUCCCUUCGGCAUCCAUCCCUCAUUCAUCUUAAUAAAGGUGAGGUAAUCUAGACUUUUUUGACCUAGGCGACUUCUCUUCUCAGUGACAAUACCUCCUGCUGCACUGAAGGUCCUUUCUGACAGAACACUUGAAGCAGGGCAGGCCAGAAGUUCUAUCGCAAAUUGGGAUAGCUCAGGCCACAGGUCAAGCCUGCACACCCAGUAGUCAAGGGGUUCAUCGCUCCUCAGAGUGUCGUUAUCUGCAAUUAAGGCGAGGUAGUCUGCUACCUGUCGGUCGAAUAGUUCUCUGAGGGUGGACCCGAACGGCUGUGGCGAUGCGUAGGACUUAAAAAGCUCCGCAUGUCCUCCAUCAACAACACGUCUGUAAAGCGUCCUGUCCUUGCCGGCGUGGUCGUGGGAGGAGGAGGAUUACUUUCAC